UCCCUUUUUAAAAUACCUAGAUGAUACGUAUACCUUACAGAGGGGCUUGCGCCAUAUUAUUUAUUUGGUAUGGUACUGGCCUACCGUGACUAUGAUGUGUAGCUGUGCUGAGAGGAUGAGCAGACACAUUGUGACUGAGACACGGCCAAAACUCCUACUGGAAGUGACACUAGGACAUUUUCCGCAAUGGAGGAAACUCUGACCAAUCAUCGCCACGUGAACGACGACUGACUUUGGAAUGUAAAGUUCUUUAAUCAAGGAUGAAAAGCAUAUGGUGAACGCAUUUGUUUGCCAGUACUUGACGAAUAAACCCCGGCUACUUAUGCGCCACCUACCGCGAAAACACCUAAGGGGCAAGUGUUAUCCGGAAUUAUUGGACGUAAGGGGUGCGUAGGCGGCCUAAUAAUUCGGCGGUGUAAUGUCAACGCUCAACGUUGUCCGGCUAUUGAAACUGCCAAACUUGAGUUAGAUAGAGGCAAGUGAAACUCCAUGUGUUGCGGGAAAAUGAGUAAAUAUAUGGAGGAACACCAGAGGCGUAUGCGGCUCACUGGGUCUUAACUGACGCUGACGCACGAAAGCCUGGGGAGCAAACAGGAUUAUAUACCCUGGUAGUCCACGCCGUAAACGAUGAUUACUACCCGGCUGGUUAACCCCGUACUGAAUUUAAGACAUUAGAUACUCCGCCUGAGUAGUACGUACGCGAGUAUGAAACUUAAAGGACUUGACCUGACUCCCAACAACGCGAUGAAUCAUGUCGAUUAAUUCUGAGAUACCCGAACAACCUUACCAGGUCUUGACAUGUUAUUGCGAGACGGUAGUAGUAUCGUAGCAGGUUAUCGGAAUCACAUGUGGUGCAUGGAUGUCGUCAGCUCGUGUCGUGAGAUGUGAGGUCAGGUCCUAGNACGAGCGAAACCCUUAUCGUUAGUUGCCAGCACGUUAUGGUGGCGCACUUUAACGAGACUGUCAGUGAUAAAUUCGGAGGAAUGUGAAGAUCACGUCA
rnacentral:sRNA from 1 species